UACGGAGGGGGCUAGCGUUGUUCGGAAUUACUGGGCGUAAAGCGCGCGUAGGCGGCUUUGUAAGUCAGAGGUGAAAUCCUGGAGCUUAACUCCAGAACUGCCUUUGAGACUGCAUCGCUUGAAUCGUGGAGAGGUAAGUGGAAUUCCGAGUGUAGAGGUGAAAUUCGUAGAUAUCAGGAGGAACACCGAUGGCGAAGGCAGGUCUCUGGGCUGACACUGACGCUCAUGCACGAAAGCGUGGGGAGCAAACAGG
rnacentral:rRNA from 1 species